UACGUAGGGUGCGAGCGUUGUCCGGAAUUAUUGGGCGUAAAGGGCUCGUAGGCGGUCUGUCGCGUCGGGAGUGAAAACUCGAGGCUUAACCUCGAGAUGUCAUCGGAAACCAUUUGGCUAGAGUCCGGAAGAGGAAAGUGGAAUUCCUGGUGUAGCGGUGGAAUGCGCAGAUAUCAGGAAGAACACCGGUGGCUAAGGCGGGUCUCUGGGCAGUAACUGACGCUGAGGAGCGAAAGCGUGGGGAGCGAACAGG
rnacentral:rRNA from 1 species